AAUACCGCAUACGUCCUACGGGAGAAAGCAGGGGACCUUCGGGCCUUGCGCUAUCAGAUGAGCCUAGGUCGGAUUAGCUAGUUGGUGAGGUAAUGGCUCACCAAGGCGACGAUCCGUAACUGGUCUGAGAGGAUGAUCGGGCACACUGGAACUGAGACACGGUCCAGACUCCUACGGGAGGCAGCAGUGGGGAAUAUUGGACAAUGGGCGAAAGCCUGAUCCAGCCAUGCCGCGUGUGUGAAGAAGGUCUUCGGAUUGUAAAGCACUUUAAGUUGGGAGGAAGGGCAGUUACCUAAUACGUGAUUGUUUUGACGUUACCGACAGAAUAAGCACCGGCUAACUCUGUGCCAGCAGCCGCGGUAAUACAGAGGGUGCAAGCGUUAAUCGGAAUUACUGGGCGUAAAGCGCGCGCAGGUGGUUUGUUAAGUUGGAUGUGAAAUCCCCGAGGCUCAACCUGGGAACUGCAUUUCAAAACUGACUGACUAGAGUAUGGUAGAGGGUGGUGGGAAUUUCCUGUGUAGCGGUGAAAUGCGUAGAUAUAGGGAGGGAACACCGAGUGGCGAAGGCGACCACCUGGGACUAACUACUGACACUGAUGCUGCGAAAGCGUGGGGGAGCAAACAGGAAUUAGAUACCC
rnacentral:rRNA from 1 species